rnacentral:rRNA from 1 species
GACGAACGCUGGCGGCGUGCUUAACACAUGCAAGUCGAACGAAGUGGCGAACGGGUGAGUAACGCGUAAUCAACCUGCCCUUCAGAGGGGGACAACAGUUGGAAACGACUGCUAAUACCGCAUACUGAAGGAGGGGCUUGCGUCUGAUUAGCUAGUUGGAGGGUUAACGGCCCACCAAGGCGAUGAUCAGUAGCAGGUCUGAGAGGAGGAACGGCGAAAUGGGGACUGAGACACGGCCAAGAUUCCUACGGGAGGCAGCAGGGGGGAAUCGUCCGGAAGGGAGGAAAGUCUGACGGAGCAACGCCGGGUGAGGGAGGACGGCCUUCGGGUUGUAAAGCUCUGUUAAGCGGGAAGCGGUACCGGAAUAGAAAGCCACGGCUAACUACGUGCCAGCAGCCGCGGUAAUUC